rnacentral:rRNA from 1 species
GAUGAACGCUGGCGGUGUGCCUUAGGCAUGCAAGUGGAACGCCCUUUGUCGCUCGCAAGAGCUAUGAAGGGAGUCGCAGACGGGUGAGUAAUACAUAGGAAUCUACCGUUUGGUGGGGAAUACCCUCGCGAAAGCGAGGUUAAUACCGCAUAAGAAUGCAAAUUGAAAGCCCUUAACCGGGCGCCGAAUGAUGAGCCUAUGUCCUAUCAGCUUGUUGGUGGGGUAAAAGCCUACCAAGGCAAUGACGGGUAGCUGGACUGAGAGGUCGGUCAGCCACAAUAGCACUGAGACACGGGCUAUACACCUACGGGAGGCAGCAGUGGGGAAUAUUGGGCAAUGGAGGAAACUCUGACCCAGCGACGCCGCGUGCGGGAUGAAGGCCUCGGUUGU